UUUGCUCUUCUCCUCUUUUUCUCUAACUGUUCGGUUUUCUUUUGCCUUUUUCCUCCAACCAAAGAACAAGAACAAAAAGUUUGAGAAAUGGAUGAAACCUAGGGUUAGAAAUCAGCAGGAGAGGCUAUGGAGUUGGGUUGCAAUAAACGUAAGAUCUUAAAUCCUGAACAGCCGACUAAUCUUAGUGCUUCUCAUUAUCCGUAUACAGGAUGAAGCUAAAAUUUUAGUAUGUUAUGUAGUACUCUAUAUGUGACUUUCUGUAAAAAUUUCAUAAAUAUAUGAGCAAUGUAGAUACCUCAAAGUACAAUGAGAUCCUAGCUGAAUUCUGUUUGUUGAUAGUGAAAGCAGGCAGAUUGUAUUGUGCUUAGCUUUUUAAUGAACCGUUAGAAUCUCAUGAUUUUUGGAUAUGUUGUUCUUACCUGUGUAAGUAUGCUUCAGUUUAAAUUUGGGAAGGAUCAGAUAACGUUUACUACUGUAAAGAUUAGAGGAACUGGGACUGCAAUCUAUAAAGCAGAAAUUCUAUACAGCCCCAUACAACUUUCGUUA